AGGACGAACGCUGGCGGCGUGCUUAACACAUGCAAGUCGAGCGGAAAGGCCCUUCGGGGUACUCGAGCGGCGAACGGGUGAGUAACACGUGAGUAAUCUGCCCCUAGCUCUGGGAUAGCUCCGGGAAACCGGGAUUAAUACCGGAUACGACCACCUUAGACAUCUUUUGUGGUGGAAAGAAUUUCGGCUAGGGAUGAGCUCGCGGCCUAUCAGCUUGUUGGUGGGGUAACGCCUACCAGGCGACGACGGGUA
rnacentral:rRNA from 1 species